UCUAUCCUACGGGAGGCAGCAGUGGGGAAUAUUGCACAAUGGGGGGAACCCUGAUGCAGCGACGCCGCGUGAGUGAAGAAGUAUUUCGGUAUGUAAAGCUCUAUCAGCAGGGAAGAAAAUGACGGUACCUGACUAAGAAGCCCCGGCUAACUACGUGCCAGCAGCCGCGGUAAUACGUAGGGGGCAAGUGUUAUCCGGAUUUACUGGGUGUAAAGGUAGCGUAGACGGCAGAGCAAGUCUGAAGUGAAAGCCCGCGGCCCAACUGCGGGACUGCUUUGGCAACUGCCCGGCUAGAGGGCUG
rnacentral:rRNA from 1 species